rnacentral:sRNA from 1 species
UCAAUUUCAAACUCGAAAUUUUGAAGAAA